CGGGGCGGGGUGGAGGGGCGGGUGCCCUCGGUGGCGGGGAGCGGCGAGCGGGCACCCGGGGCGGCGGAAGGCGAGGCGGCGUGGCGGGUCGAGGCUCCGAAGGUCCUUCCUCUCCCCUCCUCUUCGAGCUUAGAAACUACGGGCCAUCGGCUACCGCUGCGGCUGGCAUCUCUUCGGGCUGCCCCACCUCUAGGCGCUCCACACCCGCCUCUUGGAGCUCCGGCUCAAGCGGCAGUAGGCCCUCUAGCAGCUGCUGAUGGGGAUGCAGCGGUACCUGUGGCUCAAGGGGCCGCAGCAGACGGCGGGCGAGCCGUGGAAGUUCAGGUUGCGGCUGAAGUUGAUGCGGUGCGAGUUCCGGUUGCAGCUGUACGAGUUCGAGUAGGUCGAGCCGGAGUGGAAGAGGCUGCUCGCGCCGCCGGAGGGGCGGGAGCCGGGCCUGCCGGCGGGGACGCAGACCGUCAAGUUGAAGGCCCCGAAGCUGGGCGCGUGGCUGCAGCGGCGGCGCCUGAGGUAGCUGGACGACGCGGCGUCGCCCUAGCUGAAGCGGGCGGUGCGGCGGCUCCCCCGGCUGAGCGCGGCGAAGCGGCUCGACGAGUACAGGAGGCCGCAGCAGGAGUUGCGGCUCUAGGUGACCCAGUGGAAGGUGUCGCCGAUGCUGAAGCCGAUGAACGAGUUCGACGAGUGGCCGAGGUUGGACGGCCUGUGGUCGAGGCCGAAGAAGCUGGAGUAGUCCUAAAUGAAGGGUCACUAGAUGCUGUAGUUCGUGAACUACUCUAAGACGUUAUCGGAGGUGCCGCCCGACUUGUUCGAGCGACUCGACGAGCUGCAGCUCGCCCAGCCCUAGACGGUAGUCCGUCCGAGGCUAAGUGACGACUGGCGCGAGAGGAAGUUGUUCGAGUUCCUCAGUAUGAAGCCGCCUAAUUGACUCUUUAUACGGCCACACAACAUACCAGAUCCGUGUCUCCCGCCCCUUUGGUGGAGACAAGUGACUCAUUACCUAUCAAUUUAUUUACUACUUGAUAAAUACUCUCUUUCCUCUUUGGACAGACGACUUACGCACUACAGACUAAUAUAGGAGAACGAACUGUGGCUUUUCCAUAGUGAAAAGAGAGUUAACACCAUGAGGAGUUACUCAAACAAAUCCAAUCUACUGACUCAAAAACAACAAACUAAAACGUACGACUUCAACUACCUUACUACUUUGCACGAGAUCUAUGACCAAUUUAGAUGGAUACGACUAAGAAGUGUACUGGACAUCUCAAAUUGUGAACUAUCUAUCGUUUUUCUUGUGAAGAAAACAGUACAUGAGGGAGCCAUUUCUUUAUAUUCUC
rnacentral:rRNA from 1 species